rnacentral:lncRNA from 1 species
UAUUAAAGCAUACUCUAGACUUACUAUGCUCCAGGUACCGUUCAUUGGAGUCCUCCAAGCUCUUGGAGGUGGGGAUAUGAUUACCCAUCAACAGCUGAGGUUAUCCAGACACAGAGAAGUUCGAGAACUUGCUCAGGCUCACCGGGAUUGCAGGCAGAAGCCUGAAAAAAUAGAAGAGCUCUCCAUUCUGCCCAGAAGGUCAAGGACACACUCGGCAUCAUGAGCCCCACAUUCUGAAGGGGAGGACCCUCUACUGAGAAUGCAAAGAAUGGCUUCCUGGCCCACAUAAAACUUUGGCUUGUGAGGCUCUAUUUCCACUGGACCAUGGUAAGACAGCAUGUAACAGUUUAA